rnacentral:tRNA from 1 species
GCCGGGGUAGCCAAACGGAUCAAGGCAUCGCUCUUCUAAAGCGAAGAUUGCGCGUUCGAGUCGCGCCCCCGGUGCCA